UACAGAGGAGCCAAGCGUUGUCCGGAUUGACUGGGCGUAAAGCGCACGCAGGCGGUUUGGCGCGUGGGGUGUGAAAUCUGGCCGCUUAACGGCCAGGCGCCAUCCCAUACGGCUAGACUGGAGUGAUGCAGAGGUCGGUGGAAUUGCCGGUGUAGUGGUGAAAUGCGUAGAUAUCGUGAGGAACACCAGAGGCGAAGGCGACUUCCUGGACAAUUGCUGACGCUCAGGCACGAAAGCGUGGGGAGCAAAAGGG
rnacentral:rRNA from 1 species